ensembl:lncRNA
AUCUUGCUGGAGGUUCCUGCCUAUCUGAGGCUUUCUAAGGGAUGAUAUGGUACAUCUGUUCAUGUCUGGUGUGUCUUUGCUGCCAUAGUUCUCAGCUGCUUGGCUUUGAAGAGGAAUUUCAUGGCUCCUAGACCUUCUUGCUGUUAUUGUAAUAGUAGUCCCUUCUUCUUUCCCUAUUUUUCAAUCCCAUCUACUCUACCAUGAGCAAGUUUGUUGCCCUCAGCAAUUGAUUCAAACAUUGCUUCGUGUAUUUUAUAGGCAUGAGUGAGCAGGUCAGAGUUGAGGCUGUAAUUCCUGGAUAUCCCCAAGCUGGGUUCUUUAAUCAUUGCAGUGGGCCCUAAAUGCCACGGACAAAAAAUGGGGCUGCAGUGUUUGUCAUCUGCUGGUUUGUCGGGGUCUUAAGAACAUCAGAAACUAACAAGAGAAAACUAUUAGGAACGUGUAGUUUUAUGGUGUUAAAAUGUACACCAUUCACACAGCAUGUUGAGAUGAAAUAAAUUUUUGGUGAACUCUUUGAAAGAUCUGAAGAUAAAAUAUUACAAUUCCCCCUUCUUGCUUUCAGAAUACUUUUUGCUCUCUGCUUUGUUCUACCAAAACAAGUCGUGGUGGGGCUGAUCCCAGUGUGCUCUUUUGGAUGCAAGACCAUCAUUUGGGGAAAUAAAGACCCUAGAAUAUUAAUGGAGCAUUUAGAUUAAGCUCUUUGGAUCCUGCGUAGAAUUCCAGCAUGGGCAGGAGCAACGGGGAGCACUCCAGGUAUUUCAUAUCCAAAGAAUUCAAAGGAGAGAUAGAAAAGCCUAUUGUUCUGAAGAGCAGUUCUAAUCCUGAAUUAAAAGUAGGAAACUAUGAAAACAGGAUUUGGCUGUGAAAUAAUAAUAAUCACAUGCUGUGGGUGUGCUAUAGGGUUUGCUCCAUGCCAUCUGUGCUCUAAGGCAGGGUAAUGUCCAGAUUAUUAUGUGUAAUAAGACUUUUUCAAUUAAUCAAAUGUUUUGAUGCUAUAACAUUGAGACAAAUGCACAAAUAUCCCUCUUGCACUAUUCUUUGUCCUUGUUCACGGUUCCUUCCUAGGUUAAGCUAGUCCCUUUACCAUCAAGACUGCAAAUAGCUUCCGACCAAACCCUGGUUUAGAUAUCAACAUUUCACUACAUGUUUAUGCAGAGCCUGGAGCACUGAGAUGCUAACCCAUGACUGGGCUUCUUUAGCAAGACAAUGAGCAGUCUUAAGCAGUAUGAUAGACAUAUCUUCCCUUCUGUGCCACAACUAGUGUGGGGCCAAAGGAAAAUGACAAUGCAAGAAACAAAAUGUCUGUGAAGGGAGAGGAAGAAUUUGUCAUGCUUAAUCUUUGCAUUGUUGUGAUUUUUCUGAUGUUAGUGGUUUUGAAUGAAGCAGAUGGUAGUUGAUAUAAAAAUGAAAGACAGAAAUAAUUAUUUUUAAAAGCGAAAUGGUUAUGCUGUAGGAUGAUUUCUCUUAUAAACCUCUGUGUUUAUGCAUUUCUGAAAGUCAGAAAUUUUCCUUUUGGAUCUGAACUUGGCGCUUGUGCUUAUGAAGCCUUGUAUCUACAUCUGCUGAUAGUCUCAAUGCUCGAGUGAAUCCCCGUCUGGGAAUGAAGAUGCAUUGCACUGGACCAUGUGAAAAUAUGUGUAUUUAGUCGAGGGUGCCCCAGAUGUACUGGAACUGUGCUUUCCAUUCCAGCAUCCUCCCUGUGAAAAUUCAGGAGUAUGUGUUUUUAUAUUUCCUUUGCAUCUUGGGUGUGUAUGUGUCUGACAUUUAUUCUCUUUACAGUCUGAAUCAAUUAUUUUGUCUCUCCUGCUUUUGUUCUAUCUCAGCUUGGUUACUCUCCAGAAACAUACUGGUCCCAUAGGGAUUAAAAUCAAGAAG